AUUGAACGCUGGCGGCAUGCCUUACACAUGCAAGUCGAACGGCAGCGGGGGAGAAGCUUGCUUUUCCUGCCGGCGAGUGGCGAACGGGUGAGUAAUACAUCGGAACGUGCCCUGUAGUGGGGGAUAACUAGUCGAAAGAUUAGCUAAUACCGCAUACGACCUGAGGGUGAAAGUGGGGGACCGCAAGGCCUCAUGCUAUAGGAGCGGCCGAUGUCUGAUUAGCUAGUUGGUGGGGUAAAGGCCUACCAAGGCGACGAUCAGUAGCUGGUCUGAGAGGACGAUCAGCCACCCUGGGACUGAGACACGUCCCAGACUCCUACGGGAGGCAGCAGUGGGGAAUUUUGGACAAUGGGCGAAAGCCUGAUCCAGCAAUGCCGCGUGUGUGAAGAAGGCCUUCGGGUUGUAAAGCACUUUUGUCCGGAAAGAAAUGGCUCUGGUUAAUACCUGGGGUCGAUGACGGUACCGGAAGAAUAAGGACCGGCUAACUACGUGCCAGCCGCCGCCGUAAUAC
rnacentral:rRNA from 1 species